GAAGUCUAACAUAGGAAUUUAUCGCUAGCCUCAGCUCCGUCCCGUCAGCACCGUCCAACCAACCUGAAAACAUUUGAAAGUAUUUUUGGGCUAAGUACUAAUGUACUUAGUGGGCAUGCAUUUUCAUAAACAUUUCAUAUUUUCGUAAAGAGCAGUUUAUCCAAUUAUACUUGACAUGACUUAGAAGGUUUUAAAUUGAAAGAACUUCUAAGCAUGUUAAAACAUUUCUUUCAUUUGUGCGCACAUGUCACACUCCCUUUCUGUUACUCGCUGUGAUCCCGGACCUCUAGCCACCGACGGAUCCAUUUCUCCCAUUGCACUUGCCCAGAGGACGUAACUCAGACAAGUUGAAUUGACCUCGGGACGCUACCCAGGCAGGCCCUUACAUUACAUGCUUCGGAACACAUCCAGCAAGCACCCUUAUAACGCCUCUUAGUUAGUGCCCGAAUGGAGAUCAACCCACCGAGUCAACUAACAAGUGUACACAAUUCUCAAACAACGUAUUAGGUCAUAAGAGAACCUCAAUUGAUUAACUGCGCGAGCCUUAAACAGAGCAGAGUGCACAUAAACAUUUUAUUGGAUAAACAGUUUGCAUUUCAUUAAAUAAACAAUUUGCAUUUCAUUGAAACAUUUAGAGCUUAAUAACUCAAUCAUACUUUAUACAUUUGGAAAGUAAGCCCACCUGGUUAGGCAAAGCCUGAAGAUCAUAAUCACAUAUAAACCUGUCUUGGGAAAGCAGCGCUGAUCCCCCUGGUCACAAAGCCUACAAGAAAUUCUAUUCUUAAUAGGUCUCGUGAAGCUAAUCUUAAGUCAUGGUGUAGUGCUUAAUAUUCUAUGAUUCACUUAGCCGGGUUUUCAAAAUUUAGUAAAUAAAUAAUUGAAAACUAAAUUCUUGAGUUAAGGACACCAACAAUAUCCUUACUCGAUUUUCUUAAAUAAUUGGAAUUAUAAAUAAAACCAAUUAAAUCAUAAAUACUUUUAUUGCAAAAAAAAUAAUAAUGCAAUUUCAUGUCAUGCUUAGCAUAUAGUAAGUAAUAACUUAAAAUAUGCAUAUAAUAAUAAUAAUAAUAUGAUAUUAUUAUGCAAAUUAAAAUAAUUAAUCAAACUUAAUAAGUCGAAUUAAUUAAAAUAGUGCAGUCCAAUUAAAUGGAGAAGCUGCACAGCCCAAUGAAUAAAUUAAGGCCCAAGGCAUUAAAUAAAAACAUUGGCCCAACUGAAAUAUAAACAAAACUCGGCCCAAUUAAAGAGCCCAACUGAAAUAAAAAAAAAAGGCAAAAAUCGGCCCAACCCAAAGAAAAGCAAAGCCCAACCUUUAAUAUUUUCGACCCAUAUGCUCAAGCCCAAUUCGAAAUUUCAAACCCAUCCCCAAAGCCCAACACCCCCAAGCCCUAGCCCAACAUUCCACCUCUUUUUCUCCCCCCCAUCUGCCGCACACCUCACGCACACACACCUUCACUCUCAUUUCUUCUUCUCCCCAAAUCACUCUCUCACGGUUCCUUCAAAACCACCGCACAGCCUCUUCCGGCGGCCGCACGGCCGCUGCCCUCAUCUCCCUCAGAAAUCCGCCGUUGGCGGAAACUCGCCGAAGGAACAACGCCGACAAGCCGCUGCCACCAGCUCCCUCUGAUCUCUCUCUCUCUCAACUGAUCGUUCCUCCCUCUCAACUGUUCUUUCAUCUCUCCUCUGUCUCUCGGCCAUCAGUUCCGCCGCCGCGGCUUCGUCUCCGGCGAAGGGCGUCAUCUCUGGUCACUUCUCCCUUGAAUCCCCCUGUCACUCCCCCUGCUCUCUCUUUCCCCCUUGGCGACGACGAGCGCCGCCGCCUCCCUCGGUCUCUCUCUCUCGGCGACAGCAGCAGCCGGAGCCGCCCGCAGCCUCCUCCCUUCUCUCCCUCCGGCCGACAGCAGUAGAUGGAGCAAACUGCCGCCGCCGUCGUCCUCCGCUCAGCCCUCCACCCAGACCAGCUCCGACCAGCCCACCUCCUUCUCUCCAACCGUGGCCGGGCAGCAGCGGCACAGCCGCCGUGCCCUGCCUCCCUCGACCUCUCGACUCAGUUCACACAAACACAACGCUCAUCCUCCUCGACUCAACAGACCCAACCAGACACUCCAACAUUUGGACUCGGCAAUCAAAAACAAGCUCAAGACUUUUUCUUUAUUCUUUUUAAUAAGUAUGCUUCAUAUAUGUAGAAACACAGAUUGUAUGCUCAUGUAUACGGGAAUGCCAUUUUGUUUCAAAAUCUUGAUACACGAAAUCUGAAUUUGCUAUAUGGGAAAAUUAGUUGCUGGAAAUGCGUAGUGUGUGAUUCAAUAUUGUAAAAACAAGUCAUGUAAUUUAAAGAAGAAGAUGAAACCUUGGGGAUGUUCUGUUCAAAGAUAUGAAAUUGCUUUGAUGUUGAAGCUAUGAAACUGCUCGACUGUUUUUAAAAACAUGAGCUCCUCCUCGGCAGAAUGAGCUGUGGGAAUUAUGAAUGGAGAAUACAGGAAUUCAGUUAAUUAUUGCAGAAGUUUGGUAAAUGAAUUGUGAACGUGGGUGAUGGAAAUAAGUGGGGGUAAGUGGGAGUAGUGGGAGGGAAAGUGGGAAGAAAGGUGGAGGAGUUAGUGGUGGGAGUAGGAAUAAAAAAAAAAAAAAAAAAUAAAAUAAGAUAAAAUAAAAUAAAAAAUCUUCCAGGUUGUACUAUGAAAACUGUAAUAAUACUUCAUGGUUCGCUAAAUAAAUAGCUCGUGAAAAUACUUGAAUGCUAAAUUAAAUAAAUAUGAAAUGCAUAUAAUUUAAUUACUAAAUUUACAAAUGCUUUUGUAAAUCAUUUUUGUUGGAAUUAAAAUAAAUUCUUUCUCUCAAUCCGGCGUGAAUCAUCUUAAAUCUAAGUUCGAAAAUUUUCUAAACUUAGCUCGAGGAAACGGGGUAUUACAUCCCUCCCUCCUUAAAAAAAANUUUCGUCCCCGAAAUUACAUACCUUGAUAAUCUAGCUGAGGAUACUAGUCUUUCAUUUUAUUCAUCUCUUUUGUGGCCUUUUCCAUCCUGUGAUGGUUCCACUACAUGACGAGAACAAUAUUAUUGCCUCGUAAAACUUGAACCUUGCGAUCAAGUAUCUG
rnacentral:lncRNA from 1 species